rnacentral:rRNA from 1 species
GACGAACGCUGGCGGCGUGCUUAACACAUGCAAGUCGAACGGAAAGGCCCUGCUUUUGUGGGGUGCUCGAGUGGCGAACGGGUGAGUAACACGUGAGUAACCUGCCCUUGACUUUGGGAUAACUUCAGGAAACUGGGGCUAAUACCGGAUAGGAGCUCCUGCUGCAUGGUGGGGGUUGGAAAGUUUCGGCGGUUGGGGAUGGACUCGCGGCUUAUCAGCUUGUUGGUGGGGUAGUGGCUUACCAAGGCUUUGACGGGUAGCCGGCCUGAGAGGGUGACCGGCCACAUUGGGACUGAGGUACGGCCCAGACUCCUACGGGAGGCGGCAGUGGGGAAUAUUGCACAAUGGGCGGAAGCCUGAUGCAGCAACGCCGCGUGCGGGAUGACGGCCUUCGGGUUGUAAACCGCUUUCGCCUGUGACGAAGCGUGAGUGACGGUAAUGGGUAAAGAAGCACCGGCUAACUACGUG